UAGAUCAAGUGGGGGCAUCAACGCCUCCACGCCCCCACCAUCCCUCUCUGAACCUCUUAGUCUCCCCCACCAUUAUUUCCUCCUCCUCUAUUUUAUUCAUUUCCUCUGAGAUAUUUUCGUCUCUCUCCCCCUCUCGUUCAUCUCCCCUAGCUUCUUCCUCGUCAGCCAUACACGCCUUUACUUGUCUCCUCCACCGCAGCACUGUCGCAGAUCCCUUCUCCUUCCUCCCUUCGUCGCCUCUUUCGUCUCCGAUUCUCCGAUGGACGUCGCCGGCCGUCAAGUUUCCUGCAGCCCUUGCGUUUCUCUGUCUGCAUUCUGCUCUAAUCUUAUUGCAUCCCACCUCCUCCGACCUCUCAAUUUUGCCGUUUCUCGACGGAGUUUUGAUUCGUCUGAGAGAGAGUGAACGUCUUGUUUGGCUGCAAACAAAAUUUCAGAAAUUACGAGCGUAAAUGGAGCUCAGAAUUUCGUGAAGGACUAAUCGUCAGCCCUAACCGCUGAACGUCGCGAUAGUAUUAUAAUAAAGGAAAGUGAUUUCUUGUUGGAGAUAUGGAGCUCUCAGGUCCAAGCCUCCGAGAAUAUUAUGUUGCAACAAAGACAUGAGAUCAUUGCAGUGCUCUCUAAACAAUAUCAGACUACGUGAACAAGAAGUUAUUCAUUUCUUAGAAUGAGAGGCUGCAAUUUGAUUAAAGCAUGCAGCAAAAGUUUGUAUGUCUAUUUGGGAUAGCUGGUCUGAUAAUUACUGAGGAUGAAACUCGUCAGACUGGUGCAUCCACUACUCACAGAGGGUUGAACCAUUAUAUGAAAGCUGUACCUCAUAUGCUAUGUGUUCCAACUUCCAACGUACAACCAUGAAUUCAGGUUUGUUUGGAAAUUGAUGUCUCUUUUAAAUUUAUUACAUUUGCUCUUUUAAAUUGUUGUUUGGACAAAUAUUAUAGUAUAAUACCUCACGUGUGAAUAAUUUUUGCAUGUGUUGUUCCUGAAAAGUUUGAAGCAUCAUACCAUACAGUUCAGCAAGCAGUUUGAAGCAGGAACCUCUGAGAUGAGUUUCUGUGUACCUUUCUUAUCUUGUCUUAGACAAGGUCUAAAGUCUAUGGUUCAGUAUCUUUAUUAAGAUCAUUAGACGCUUUCUCAGGAAACUGAAAAUGUAAAACCUUCAAGAUUAGUUUCUCUGUCCCUGUCUUAUCUUGUUUUAGACAAGGUCUAAAGUCUAUGAUUCAGUAUCUUCAGUUAAGAUCAUUAGACGCUUUCUAAGGAAACUGAAGAUGCAUGUAAACUACUUUAUUAUUAUUAUUUUUAAAAAAAAAUUUUUAUCUGUUUUUCCCUCACAUCCUGUUGUAAAUUGGCUGCCAAUGAUUUCUUACUAGCUGAUUUCAGUCAUUUGCAUAUCCAGAUUUGCUGAUACAUACUGCCAAGGAAUUUAGGGGUUUAGUCAUAAUUGCAAGCCUUUUCCUUCAAUACUUUUAUGAACUUCGUUAUACAAGAGCCUAUUCUAGUUGACCAACUUAACUAAACUCAGCUGCAUUAUAAUUUUGAAUAAAUUGGGAACUUUUACAAUUGACAUUAUUUUAGUGUAAGGGUUGCUGCUAGUGGCCAAUGAGGGGUUAGUGGGAACGGUCAGGCCAAUGAAGUUCACACAACUAGCAGGGCUGCUAUAAAACUGUAGGACUGGAGUUUAGCAAUGACCGACGCCGAUAUUAUCAGUGGUAUCAACUUAAAGCCAAGUUCUUUUUGUAGUAAAUUUGAGAAAGCUCACAAGAUGAAGAUGAAGGCAUACAUCAAGCUGCUUGAUAAAAGUGAUAUUAUUAUCCAUCUUAACAAAAAGUAUCCUAACCUAGGGAAGACCGUGAUAGUCCUAGAUCAAGUACCACUUACCAGAUUAAUGGCAAAAUCAGUAUUCCAAAGGCCCGAUAUCUCUUAGUAACAUACAGUAGCAUCGAGCCUUUGUAGAAUGGAAAUUGUUAUUUGGUAUUUGAGGCUUUGAGGCUUAAUGUUAAGAGUUUUAUAGUGUGGAGUAUCUAUUAGGUCUAAGUGGUUUGAAGUUUUAUUGGAGUUCAAAAGUUUUGGGGUAAAAGGUUUCACACAACUAGUCUUUUGGGGUUUCAGAUGUGGAAGUUCAGAGUUUAUAAAUUGGGUGGGGGUGAGGUUUGAGAUCAAAAUUUUACCAAUGACUCAUUCGUUAAAACACAAAUCGCCAUCACUUAAAUCAUUAACUCAUCUUUAAUACAACAUAAAGAUGAGACAAAGUAGCCAGGAACAAGAACAUGUAGAAAGCGGGAAUCCAAAGUAUG